rnacentral:antisense_RNA from 1 species
GAGUGGUCAUCAGACUUCAAUUUCAUAGACUAGAAUUCAGAAAUGGAACAAAACCUUGGGAUACCAGCCUUCCAUUUUGUGCAUAUAAUAAACGAGUAAAAGGCCGGGCGCGGUGGCUCACGUCUAUAAUCCCGCACUUUGAGAGGCUGAGGUGGGCGGAUCGUGAGGUCAGGAGAUCGAGACGAUCCUGGCUAACACAGUGAAACCCUGUCUCUACUAAAAAUACAAAAAAUUAGCCGGGCAUGGUGGCGGGCGCCUGUAGUCCCAGCUGCUCAGGAGGCUGAGGCAGGAGAACGGCAUGAACCCGGGAGGCGGAGCUUGCAAUGAGCCAAGGUCAUGUCACUGCACUCCAGCCUGGGCGACAGAGUGAGACUCUGUCUCAAAUAAAUAAAUAAAUAAAUAAAUAAAUAAAUAAAUAAAUAAAAGGUCUACAAGGAUAUAAAACAAAAUAUUAAAAUC